GGAUGUGUGCGUGGAUGGCUCGUGUUUAAGUGCAACUCAAAUAUGUUCAACUCAUCUUUCCCAGAAUUAGGACCUUUGCAAGGUCAUAACUGUUUGUUGCACAAUUUGAUCAAAAAUGGCAACCAUCACUUCAUAAAAGUUCAAUAUUUUGAUAUAAUCGGAGUCCUGCACUGUUUCAUUUUGAAAUGGAUCAUUUUGUGCUAAAUUUAGAACCGUGGUGGGCAUAGCAUUGACCGAGAGCAAUCUGUUAUUUUUUGGUUUUCGCCCAGCUACCCGAUUUACGCUCCUCAUUCGCGCCACGCGUUGUGGGUAGACCACUCUGGCCAUAUUUAGAUUGGUUACCCUCUACGCGAGCGCUCGGUAUUAUAAAAUAGACACGAAAUCGAUAGACUACAAGCAUUCGGCCAGUGCUGAUCUCGUCGCGCCCUGUUACAGUCGAUGUCACACAUAGGAGCGUGUAAAUUACCUAUGCAUGCAUGAACGUACUUGCCACAUGAUUUUCCUGCCAUGUGAUCCAGAUUUACAAUCAACCACAUAAAAUUCUACAAUUUUUGUAUAUGGAUUAGAUUUUAAUACAGUGAAUAUAAAUAAUUUACUGUGGCGAAUAUAGAAAUCGUGCUGUUGUUAGAGAAUUUAAAUUGAAACGUCGUGAAAUUAAGUUAUGACAUUUUUUGUAUUUGUUUGACCUUAAUAAAUAAGAAUGGCUGGGUCGAUAUCAACUCGUACGAUUUGGAUAGUUCCCACGAGAAUCUAAUCACACUCUGGAGAUUUGAGACAUUUAGAAAAAUCUUCCAGAAUCGAAAAUAAGCCGAGCAGAUUUAUUUUUAUACGAAAAUCCGAUUGUAAUUUGGAAUCACUCUCUAAAUCUGCAAAGAAUCAACUUGGGAUUCGUUUAGAUUGGUUCUGAAUUAGUUCCUUUUGUUUUUGCUUGUACGGACGCGGUAAGAAUGAAAAUGAAAGUGUGCAAAAGAAACUUACUUGGUCGCUCAUCAUCCACCGCAUUCAACUCGGAUGAUUUGCUAUGGUGAUGCUUGUGUCUUCGAUGAGAGUGACGUCUUUCAGCCGGAAUGUGAACGCCAACGAAGACUGAAUGUGCGCGGUGACCUAAACAAUAAAAUAUUUGUAACAGAAAACCAUUUAUCUAUAAAUAAUGUAUUUGUAUUUUAUAUAUGUUUAUAUUUUUUCUAUUAAAUACAGUGUAAUGAUAUUCUGAGUAAAAAAAUAUAAAGUAUUAUUGCA